UACGAAGGGGGCUAGCGUUGCUCGGAAUUACUGGGCGUAAAGGGCGCGUAGGCGGACAGUUAAGUCGGGGGUGAAAGCCCGGGGCUCAACCCCGGAAUUGCCUUCGAUACUGGCUGUCUUGAGUUCGGGAGAGGUGUGUGGAAUGCCGAGUGUAGAGGUGAAAUUCGUAGAUAUUCGCAAGAACACCAGUGGCGAAGGCGGCUCACUGGCCCGAUACUGACGCUGAGGCACGAAAGCGUGGGGAGCAAACAGG
rnacentral:rRNA from 1 species